rnacentral:rRNA from 1 species
UACAGGGGUCUCAAGCGUUGUUCGGAUUCAUUGGGCGUAAAGGGUGCGUAGGUGGCGCUGUAAGUCGGGUGUGAAAUUUCGGAGCUUAACUCCGAAACUGCAUUCGAUACUGCGGUGCUUGAGGACUGGAGAGGAGACUGGAAUUCAUGGUAUAGCAGUGAAAUGCGUAGAGAUCAUGAGGAAGACCAGUGGCGAAGGCGGGUCUCUGGACAGUUCCUGACACUGAGGCACGAAGGCCAGGGGAGCAAACGGG